rnacentral:rRNA from 1 species
GACGAACGCUGGCGGCGUGCUUAACACAUGCAAGUCGAACGGAAAGGCCCUGCUUUUGUGGGGUUCUCGAGUGGCGAACGGGUGAGUAACACGUGAGUAACCUGCCCUUGACUUUGGGAUAACUUCAGGAAACUGGGGCUAAUACCGGAUAGGAUCUCCUGCUGCAUGGUGGGGGUUGGAAAGUUUCGGCGGUUGGGGAUGGACUCGCGGCUUAUCAGCUUGUUGGUGGGGUAGUGGCUUACCAAGGCUUUGACGGGUAGCCGGCCUGAGAGGGUGACCGGCCACAUUGGGACUGAGAUACGGACCAGACUCCUACGGGAGGCAGUAGUGGGGAAUAUUGCACAAUGGGCGGAAGCCUGAUGAAGAAACGCCGCGUGCGGGAUGACGGCCUUCGGGUUGUAAACCGCUUUAGCCUGUGACGAAGCGUGAGUGACGGUAAUGGGUAAAGAAGCACCGGCUAACUACGUG